UACUUUGAGAGAGAGUAAACAGUACGUGAAACCGCUCAGAGGUAAACGGGUGGAGUUGAACUGCAAGCUCUGAGGAUUAAGCUGGUGAGCAUGGCAUGAGCUGGGUCAUGUUGGUUGUGAGUCUGGGUCUGCUUAGCCGCAGGUUCUCGCCUUCUGGUGGGAAUGCGCGUUGCACUUGUCAAGUGUUGUGCGCUCAGUCUCCUUCGAACCUGCUCGCCAGUGCACUUUCUCAGAGUGUUCACCACGACCGACGUCGCCGCCUGGCUGUUGCGGUUAAACCGGCCGUGUAGGGUCUUUGUGACUUUGCGCGGUUCGGGAUGGCAGGUAACCUGUUGUGCACUUUUGUGCCUCCAGGUGUAAUAGCUGACUGCAUCGGUCCUGUGCGGUACAUCGGAGACGGCGGCUUGUUGUGUGUGCAGGCGUGCUGUUGUGCCGACGGCUUCGAGUCUGGUUGCCUUGUUGCUUGUGAAUGCAGGCCGGGUGAUGGCUUAUUGCUGUUCAGUGCACAGUUGCGUUUGUGACACUAUGACAGGGCCAACAGUCUGUGGUGUAGUGGUAGACUAUCCACCUGACCCGUCUUGAAACACGGACC
rnacentral:rRNA from 1 species